GGGUUCUGAGAGGCAGCCUGUGGUGGCAUGUUAAACACUCUGCUACUGUAAGCAACCCAGCACGAUCCAGCACCAUCUAGAAAAAUACAUCUUUCCAUCAUUCACAGACCUGAUUUCACUUAUGACUCUGCUUGGCAAAUGACUUGCUUUCGAAGCUGCCAGAGUGGUAACCUCAUUGACAAGAAAACUGGAAUUAAAAAAUGUGCACUCCACAAUGAAGACUAUCAUAGCUCAGUGUUUAUUAUGUGGAUCCAUGGCCUUCGGGCUCUGGACUGCUCUGUUAAUGGCAUAUUUUCACUACAAUCAAGAGAAUAAACCGCUGAAGAAAACCCAGGAACCUAUCAAGGCUAGCUCACUUGGAAAAAAUGUGUACCAGCAAAACCAUGACUCAAAGGAAACUCCCAAACAGAAAGUUAUUAAUGAUAAGAUUGACUUUUUAGAGCCAGAAUUUCACCAAGAAUUUGAGCAAUAUGGACUUAAUGCUGUUAUCAGUAGAAGACUGGGCAUCGUGAGAGAGGUGCCAGAUUCCAGGGAUAAAAUAUGUCAUCAGAAACGCUACCCAUUCAAUCUACCCACUGCCAGCAUCAUCAUAUGCUUUCAUAAUGAGGAAUUUCACACCUUGCUCAGAACAGUGUCUAGUGUGAUGAACCUCACUCCACACCACUUCCUUGAAGAAAUAAUUUUGGUUGAUGACAUGAGUGAAAUUGAUGAUUUGAAAGAAAUAUUGGACUACAGGCUGGAACUUUUUCGUGGGAAGAUUAAAUUAAUAAGAAACAAAAAGAGAGAGGGUUUCAUUAGAUCAAGGAUGAUUGGUGCCUCCCGCGCUUCAGGGGACAUCCUGGUAUUCUUGGAUAGCCACUGUGAGGUGAAUAAAGUCUGGCUGGAGCCCUUACUGCAUGCCAUUGCUAAGGACCACAAAACGGUGGUGUGCCCUCUGAUGGAUGUCAUUGAUGAAACAACACUGAAUUAUAUAGCGGCACCCAUUGUAAGGGGAGCUUUUGACUGGAACCUGGGCUUUAGAUGGGACAGUGUUUUCUCAUAUGAGCUGGACGGCCCAGAAGGACGAAGUAAACCCAUCCGGUCACCUGCAAUGGCAGGACAAAUUUUUGCGAUAGACAGACAUUAUUUUAAUGAACUUGGACAGUAUGACAAGGACAUGGAUCUUUGGGGAGGAGAAAAUGUGGAACUUUCACUAAGAAUUUGGAUGUGUGGAGGCCAACUCUUUAUAAUUCCUUGCUCUCGGGUUGGACAUGUCACCAAGAUACAUAGUUCCAAUGACCCUGCACUCAAGAAAGCCUUGUCACGGAACUUAUUGCGAGUGGUUCACACCUGGCUGGAUGAAUACAAGCUCAGGACCACCUGCCCAGGGAUGGCACCACCCUCAGUAGGCUGGACCUUCCUAUAACAGUACUCAGGAAAAAGCCUGACAUGGCAAUCUGAUGGAGGCAAUUCCUGUUUGGAGUCUCUCUUCCCAGGUGACUCCAGUUUGUGUCAAGGAUAAUUUUUUUCUUCAAAGACCUCAUUUAAAAUACGUAUCCUGUGGAAACAUUAGCGAGCGUGUUGAAUUAAGGAAACGACUAGGUUGCAAGUCAUUCCAGUGGUAUUUGGAUAAUAUCUUUCCAGAGUUGGAGCCAACUGUACACAAUGAUGAAGAAAAAAAUCAUUUAUUUAAUAAAGGGUGAAAAAGUC